rnacentral:rRNA from 1 species
CACGCAGGCGGUCGUGUAAGUUUGGGGUUACAGCUCCCGGCUCAACUGGGAGAGCGCCUUGAAGACUGCAGGACUUGAGGGCCAGAGAGGGACACAGAAUUCCGGGUGUAGUGGUGAAAUGCGUAGAUAUCCGGAGGAAUACCAAAGGCGAAGGCAGUGCCCUGGCUGGUGACUGACGCUGAGGUGCGAAAGCUAGGGGAGCGAACGGGAUUAGAUACCCCGGUAGUCCUAGCCGUAAACGAUGACCACUAGGUGUGGGAGGUAUCGACCCCUUCCGUGCCGUAGCUAACGUGAUAAGUGGUCCGCCUGGGGAGUACGGUCGCAAGAUUAAA